UUAAAUUGAAGAGUUUGAUCAUGGCUCAGAUUGAACGCUGGCGGCAGGCCUAACACAUGCAAGUCGAACGGUAACAGGAAGCAGCUUGCUGCUUUGCUGACGAGUGGCGGACGGGUGAGUAAUGUCUGGGAAACUGCCUGAUGGAGGGGGAUAACUACUGGAAACGGUAGCUAAUACCGCAUAACGUCGCAAGACCAAAGAGGGGGACCUUCGGGCCUCUUGCCAUCGGAUGUGCCCAGAUGGGAUUAGCUAGUAGGUGGGGUAAA
rnacentral:rRNA from 1 species